GCUCAGCCGGGUGGUGAUGGUCGCUGCGCAGGCUUUUAAUCCCAGCCCUUGGGAAGCAGAGGCAAGAAGAAGGCACCAGAUCUUAUCAGAGAUGACUGUGAAUCAUCUUGUGGUUGCUGGAAAUUGAACUCAGGACCUCUGGAAGAGGUAAUUUUGAAUUGCUCAGCAUUUCAGAGUUUACUGCACUUACUGAGUAGCCCCAAGGGAUCUACCAAAAAGGAAACCUGUUGGACAGUAUCUAAUAUUGCAGCUGGAAAUAGGGCACAGA